UUUAAAAACCAACCCGUUACAAAAAGAAAAGGGCGACAUGUUUUAGCUGAGGGUUAACAAAACCCAAAAGCUUACUUUAUAACAGCAGUCCCCCAAGUCCUAACUUUAGCAACUUGAAAAACUUGCUCAGGUUUGCUUCGGCCCCACCCUCUCUGGAGAACAGAAAUUUUGAUUAGCGAAAGACUUCGUCAAUCAGUCGCAUCUUUGGAGACAAGCACUCGUCGGUCUCAACUUGUAAGGGCAUUGGGUCGCUAGCAUGGGAAUAUUGGCAUCCAUCUCUGUAUAGGCACUAGCAAUGAAGGAAGGAAUCUCUCUGCGGAUGAAGGCCUUCAUUGCUCAAACACCCCCCGGGCGGCCCAAGACUGCCUGCUGGCAAUUCACAAAGAGUGACCUCGUUGGUCCGGUCCGAGUGAAAUCAGACAGGUCAGAGGACAGACAGGGUGCUCCUCAGCUCAGAGGACAGGCAGCCUCACGCCUCCACGUCUAGUCGGAGUGAGAAGAAGGUUCAUCUGCCUUCCAUUGAGGACACAGCAAGCAAUACCAACCCAGAAGACCUCCCCGAAGUCAGCAGAUUAGAAUCGCUAACCAGGGCAGGUGCCUGGGUGAGAAACACAGGUCCAUACAGUAACUUUCAAUCAAGCAGGACUCACCUUCUUCUCUCUCAAAGCCUGGGUGAACUACCAAAUGACAACUCCCUGGACAGAGGUUCAACCAGAGAGUCUGAGCAGAACAAACCCAACACAGCCCCUCGAAGCCUGCAGAAGAGACCAGCUGGGAACUGCCUAUAGUACAUCACAUUACUGCAUGAGAAGGAGCAGUGUUUGCUGAUGCUCGGGGAUGAAAUUAACCGACUGUCUGUGUUUGAGUUCGAAGCGGCACGAAAGGAUGAGAUGAUCGCAUUUCUCCAGGAAAAAGUGGCUGGGCUGUCCAAUCAGCUGAGCCUGGCCAAGAAUGAGGAAGUCAUCACU